AUUCAGAUGACAAAUCCCAAAUAGGACGAAAUGCGCAUCAAGCUGGAU
rnacentral:hammerhead_ribozyme from 1 species